rfam:Pan troglodytes isolate Yerkes chimp pedigree #C0471 (Clint) chromosome 1, whole genome shotgun sequence.
GCUGGGUGUGAUGGCUCACACCUGUAAUCCCAGCACUUUGGGAGGCUGAGACAGGUGGAUCACUUGAGCCCAGGAGUUUAAGACCAGCCUGGGCAACAUGGUGAAACCCCGUCUCUA